UACUUCAAACACGCCUAGCCCCCGAGUUUAUUUCUCUAAGUCCCCACGAUACAUGGCUCACGACAUUCACAUUGCAAGAGCCCUAGUCACAAGUACACUAAUCAGUCUUAUCUCUUUCAAUUUUUUUGUGAUAAAGCACUAGUUCCGAGUAGCUUGAUUCCCGAAUCCAUCACGCCCCUGGAGUUCUAAGAGAAAGGCCAAUAUUUGAAGAUCAUCCAAGGUUUUGGCUACUAUUACGGUAGAGGCAAAUAGGUCGUUUGUCUGGUCAAGUAAGAGAGUAAAUUGAUAAAGGUUUUGUAAUUGAGAACUUGCUUAUAAUUUGAUUUUUAAAUAAUAAAAUUGACUUUUUUGUGUUUA